rnacentral:rRNA from 1 species
GGGUCAGUAGGUUGGUCGUGCUACCGGUACGUACUGGUCUCACUGAUUCCUCCUUCCUGAAGAACCGUAAUGCCAUUAAUUUGGUGUUGCGGGGAAACAGGACUGUUACUUUGAAAAAAUUAGAGUGUUUAAGGCAAGCUAACGCUUGAAUACAUUAGCAUGGAAUAAUGAAAUAGGACGAUCGAUCCUAUUUUGUUGGUUUCUAGGAUUGACGUA